GGGGAGGGCUAGGUCAGGAGAGGGUGGGUGGCGGCUGGAACGGCAGGAGGAGUGGGUGGUGGCGGCUGGAGCAGGGAGGGAGGGGAGAGGCGUAGAAGGCCGGUUGAGAUGCGGGCUCCUCUAGCUCGCUCGCGGGCUCACGCGGGCAGGAGCGUCGGAGGAGGGUGCUAAGGGGCGCGGGCUCGGGGUGCUCUCCUCGAGGAGGACACAAAAACGUGCGGCGGCGGCCGCUGGUGGUCGGUGUCGAACGGCCUCGGUCGUCUACUCACGGUGGGAAGAAGAGAUAAGAGAAGAAGGGCACGAGAGAAAGAAGGAGGAAAGAGAGAGAGUGUGUAGAGUUAAAGAGAGAGACAGAGUUUGUCACGUGAAGCGGCGGUACCUGCGAGCACAGGGGCUGGAACGUCGCGCGGCGGGGCUACGCUUCAGGGAGGACCAGCAAGGACGCGGCGACCCGGCUUCGGAGCGGGUUCAGGUUCGCGGCGGGUGCAAACGGAGGAGCGGUACCGGAGGGGACGAAGCAGACGAAGCGCCUGUCUCGAGGCAGAGGCAGUUGCACAGGAGGGCGGCAGAGACAAGCGACAGCCCGAGUUAGCUGAGGUCGUCGUGGGGGUGCCACAGCGAGGCGAGCCGUGGGCUCACAGAGAGGUCGAACGUCAUCGUCGAGAGAAGAGGUCACGCGGGUGGUCGGUCCGGCAAGCAGAGGUCGAGAGGCGAGACCGAGACAUAACGCAACAAGUAAGUUAGUCCCUAGAUAAGGUUCCAGAGCCCAGGCGGGAGAGGUACCUCUUUCCUCUAUAGAUAAGUAAAACGUAAAACUUGUACGAUCGUUUAUACGUCCUCAUUUGUUCAAGAACAUCAUCUAUAACAUUCACAAACAAGACUUUUACAUGACAGUGGCUUCUAUAACGCUCACCAGACUGUUCUAUAAGAGUUAAACGUUCAAAUCAAUGAAAAGGUCAAUUAAUUGACCUGUAGAACCUCAUCAAUCUUUUAGUACUUAAUAAACGUCUUUAAGCAUCUUCAUAACAUGAGGUCACACGUAAUGAAUGUAUUUGAACGAACGUUCGAAUAAAAGACUGAAAGUAUAAGACUUUGACUUUUUCGAAUCAAUUUAAGAUAAUUCAAAGUCAUUAUAAGUCACCUCACCUCACAAAUGACAUUUAAAACUUGUAGUGUCAUUAAAGGGAACGACAAUUGACAACAUCGUAAUCCUCAUCAAAAUAACGUCAUGACGAACUUGAUGAGGUUCGUAAACCUCAUAACAUUUCGCUCAUUUACCUCCCGCUCCUUAAAAAUGACGUUACAUCCUAACGUGUCCCUCAACAAUCAUCAUCUACAACUACUAGUAUAGUCCUCUACCUCCCACUAUGUGUCGGUACAUCUCCUCGUCGUCGAGUUCCAGGAAAGAGGAGGUGCGGUGGAGACGGGGAGAGAGCAAAACUAAACGAUACAACCCAAGGUUCUAAUCUUUAUAAAAAACAAAGGUAGAAAUAGGUACACGAUAGUAAUUGAGACUCUUUUACAAUACAAAAACGACUAAUCACCGUCAUGUAGAAACGAAAUGAUAAGGAUCGUCGACGUCAAGUAGAUGGUAUUUGUACAACACAUGUAAGACUUGGGGGUUUGUACUGUGUUCACUAUACAUAUACGUCGUCCCUUAGCAGUUGAACAUAUCAAACAAAUGACCUUACAUUGAACAUGUUAAAAAUGAACUUAUACAAGUCAAUACUUCAGCACAUCAACAAAAAAGAGUAGUCAAGAUUUAACGUCAUGUAAUGACUUAACAACUACUACGACUUACUUAGAUCGAACAACCCAAAUCAGAGAACAAAUCUACCUUAUCGUGGGGUAGUGGACAACAACAACAAUAAGUGGGAUAGGAACGACAAGACAAAAGAACAACCGUCUAUAAAACUCAUUUAAGUUCUGCUUUCUACAAGUUUCUUCGAGGUUCUGUAAGAAUAUAUCGUUCAAUACAUUAUUAUCGACCCAAUAGACCCUUAAAUUACAUAGAAGAGAGACAAACACUUACUUUAUCAUUAAUACAUACACUUAAUUACAUAGAAGAGAGACAAACACUUAAAGUACAUACAAAGUCUUAAUGUUAAAGACAAAGUAUACUUGAUCAUUAAUACAUACAC
rnacentral:rRNA from 1 species